CUCGGUAUCCAGAGCAUAGGAACUUUCACUUCCAGUUCGUGAAUGAACAGUACUUGGAUUCUCUAGACGUCCCCGGUCUCUGCAAGUGUUAAUGGAACAAAUGGUGCCACUAAUGAAGCAAGAUUCAAGCGCUCCAUCAUCAAGUUUCAGCACAAGGAAGGUGAAAUAGAGAACAUGAAGGCAUCCUCCUCUGUGUCCACAGACACUGUUUCAGGUCACUCAAGAGCCACUGAGUCACACCAAAAAAGACAAGAACAAAAUAAAACAACAAAAACCGCCUAAUACAUAAAUAGUUGAAAAUUAUUGACUUUGGAAAGUGGGAAAUAAGCACUACAUAUUCACCAUUAACAUUUGUAAGUGUGGCUGCAUGCGCACAUUGAUACACACCACAGACACUGGCUCUUUGUCCUUCACUUACUUU